rnacentral:rRNA from 1 species
UACGUAGGGUGCGAGCGUUGUCCGGAACUAUUGGGCGUAAAGAGCUCGUAGGCGGUCUGUCGCGUCGAAUGUGAAAACCCGGGGCUCAACUCCGGGCUUGCAUUCGAUACGGGCAGGCUAGAGUUCGGUAGGGGAGUCUGGAAUUCCUGGUGUAGCGGUGAAAUGCGCAGAUAUCAGGAGGAACACCGGUGGCGAAGGCGGGACUCUGGGCCGAUACUGACGCUGAGGAGCGAAAGCGUGGGGAGCGAACAGG